GACGAACGCUGGCGGCGUGCUUAACACAUGCAAGUCGAACGGAAAGGUCCUGCUUUUGUGGGGUGCUCGAGUGGCGAACGGGUGAGUAACACGUGAGUAACCUGCCCUUGACUUUGGGAUAACUUCAGGAAACUGGGGCUCAUACCGGAUAGGAGCUCCUGCUGCAUGGUGGGGGUUGGAAAGUUUCGGCGGUUGGGGAUGGACUCGCGGCUUAUCAGCUUGUUGGUGGGGUAGUGGCUUACCAAGGCUUUGACGGGUAGCCGGCCUGAGAGGGUGACCGGCCACAUUGGGACUGAGAUACGGCACAGACUCGUACGGGAGGCAGCGGUGGGGAAUAUUGCACAAUGGGCGGAAGCCUGAUGCAGCAACGCCGCGUGCGGGAUGACGGCCUUCGGGUUGUAAACCGCUUUCGCCUGUGACGAGGCGUGAGUGACGGUAAUGGGUAAAGAAGCACCGGCUAACUACGUG
rnacentral:rRNA from 1 species